UUUCUAAUAUAUUUCGACACAAAAUUUCAUUUUUUUACAUAAUGAACCUUAAAGUAACAUUGUUUCACCGUGGUCGUGUCCAAAGAUCCGUCUUAUCUAGAUUUAGGUAAGUGUCCAUUAGAUGAAUCAAUUUCAAUAUCUAUCAACAGCAUAACUGUAGCAGACAUGCAAAAUUCUCAAAAAUGGGUAUCCUAGUUGGAGUAAAGAUAGUGGAAACAAAUUGUACAUUUUAGCACUACCAUAUGUAUCCUGCUGGUUUAUUAACAAUUGUCGCAGCCAGCCCAAAGGCAAUCUCGUUUUGUCUAUCUGAAAUCUUUGCUGAUGUAUCCAAUACAAAGUCGAUUAAAUUAUCAUGUCACUAAAAGAGAUACAACUAGUUCAGCUUGUGUUGGCAGAAAGGACAUAUAAAGCAAAUGAUUAACAGCGAUCUUUACCUAAAGAGAUUCCCACCCACUCAUCACUCAGUUACUCACCAUCCUAUAACCAUUAGUGCAAACAUGACAUCAAUCUCAUCACUGUCCCUUAAGAAAAGAGUGCCUACAAAGAGAUGAUAAGGCAAGGACCUGUUCAGUUUUGGUGAUGCAAUGCUAGCUGCAGAUUCAUGCUCAGCUGCUGGCAUAACUUCAUUUAGCUUAAAUUGUAAAAUUAAAGCAAACCAAAAGAACAAGUAUGGUUCUGUAGUGCAUAUACUUGUUCACAUUUCAGAAUAAGAAUACUAAGCAAUUCAUGCUCUUCAAACUAACAUAGAUGAGACUAUACCAAAGGGGUAAACAAAAAGGAAAAGCAAGAAAUAGAAAAUUUAGCAGACAAGAUAAAUUCAAAGCACAUAUUUUCAUUAUCAAGAAUAUUUCCUCUGUUCAGUCUCUCUGUUGCAUAUAUAGCGAUAACAUUGACAGAUUCUAAAGUUAUGGCCAGGUAAUAAAAUGCACAGCUAUUACGACUAAUGUUUAGUUACACACAAAUGACCUCUCGAGCACAUUGACAAUGACAACUGAACUCACCUGAGUUAUAUUAGGUUUUAAGUUGAAGAUGACCCAUGACUGCUUUGACCAAGGUUUGAUGCCCCUGGACUGGGCGUCUGUUUUAUUUCGGUUCCCCUGCCAGUAAAGCGGGGCCUCUCGCCCGCCCUCAGACCACCAACUCGUGGACUGUAUUGCCUUUUGGGUGCACGUGGACUAAAUGCAGGUUUUAUAUCCUGUAAUGAAGUUGGUGUUGAGCUUGUCACUUUAGGGCUUUGUGUUCGGCGGAACUCCCCACGGCUUCUCGUCACCAUUUCAUCAAGAAUUUCUCCUCCAUCGAUAUUAGAUGACCUUGUUUGAGGGUUCUGAUCCUGCCAGAUAGACAGAACGUCAUUUUUUGAAGCUCCAAAAGCGGAAUGUGAAAGAAGCUCGAUUAAUUGAACAUUGAAAAGGUUAAGACCACUUACUUCACAUGCAAUGUUGUAAGAUACAGCAGGAGCUUCCUCAUAUUCUGCAGCAUCCAGGUCUUGAAGAAAAGCUCCUUUGAAAAAUAUAGGGAGCACAUACUGCCUUACAGGAACUAGAAGCAUGAUUAACAGUGGAAAAAGGACCCCGGCUAUUGGAAUCCAUGUCAAGCCAAAACACAGAAGCAGGUAAGUUGUCUGGAACACGGUGAAGAUGGCAAUUGUUUUAAAGGGUACUGUCUCGACAAAAGUUAAAUGACUCGUCUCCAGCACCCUGAAAGGUUGGAGGAAACUGAGGUAUUAGAAGUAUUUGAGAAAUAAUUACAAGUUUCUAACCGCCAGCUUAAAAGAUAUGAACUGUGCGAUAACAGUGCGUAUAAUAACUACUACUGCAAACAUAAUAAAACCAACAUAUAAGUGAAGUUGAUACUGACAUCAAACUAGCAGAAAGUGACAGAUUUCAAAUUAUAGAAAGAACAAAUGCUAAAAGAAUGAUUUACUUGUAUCGUCGACUUGGAGCAGUAAAAAGCAAUAAUAUCCUCUCCCAGCACUGAUUUCCUGGUAAACUUUCAAUGGCCAUAAAAGCAAAGUAUCCCCAAAGAACUGAAGUUGGGAUCUUCUUCAGGAGAGGCAUAGCAGCAACACAGCCACCAACCAUCAAUGCCUGAAGCAGAUUGCUGAGGCGCUGUUCUUUGACUUCAACAGGUAAAAGAUCAUCUACAUCUUUAUCAAUAUCAAAUAUGGUUUCAUCCACAGGGGCAUCAAUGUAGCCAGUACUUGAUGCCUUUUGGAUCGUUGAUUCUUUUAGCUCUUUCAGUCCCUGCGUGAAGUGAAGGUAAGUAAAAAGAGGAAAAAGAGGAAGCUGUUUUCCAUACCAAAUGAUAAGCAGGAUAAACUACCAGGGCAGGUGGCAAUUGAUAGACUAAAGGAGUCUGCAUUUCAUUGUAAGCUUCUUGAAUGUUUUGGUAUAACUGACCCAGAUUUGCGUUAUCGUGAAUGCUUCUUCUGACUGUCGAAACUAGCUUAUUUCGCAAAAGCUGCUCAAAGAAGAGAAACAAAGAUAAAUUAGAUCAACAUCUUAUAUUUAACUGGUUUUAGAAAGAUGGGCUUAAGAGAUGGUGAAAGUGUCAAACAAGAACACAAGGAAACAGAAAAAUGCUCAUAUACAGUAAUUUGGCUACAAUUCGAACACAAGAAAGUAAAACAAAGCCAUGUAGAAGUGUUUCUUGGUGGCAAUUUGAUUGAAUUUGCUUCACUACAAUUGGCAUUUGAUCUUCUAAAAUGCAAAAAGCUCAAUUGAAACCUUUUCAAAUGUCAAUUCAGUCAGGAGCCUGAAUCUCUUAUUCUUCACAGUAUCAAACUCUUCCAUCAAGGAUUUAGAGCUUAGAAAAUCAGCAAAAAAUUUAGAAGGAAACAGAACCAUAGCCUGAAGGAAGAAAAGAAUCAGAUUUGUAUAGUAGACUUUAGAGCCAGGAAGUCUGGCUAUUACCUG